CAGUGCCACGGGAAUACAGAGGGUGCGAGCGUUAAUCGGAUUUACUGGGCGUAAAGCGUGCGUAGGCGGCUUCUUAAGUCGGAUGUGAAAUCCCUGAGCUUAACUUAGGAAUUGCAUUCGAUACUGGGAAGCUAGAGUAUGGGAGAGGAUGGUAGAAUUCCAGGUGUAGCGGUGAAAUGCGUAGAGAUCUGGAGGAAUACCGAUGGCGAAGGCAGCCAUCUGGCCUAAUACUGACGCUGAGGUACGAAAGCAUGGGGAGCAAACAGGAUUAGAUACCCCAGUAGUCCCUGUCUCUUAUACA
rnacentral:rRNA from 1 species